UACGUAGGGGGCAAGCGUUGUCCGGAAUCAUUGGGCGUAAAGAGCGCGUAGGCGGUCCGGUAAGUCGGUUGUGAAAGUCGGGGGCUCAACCCUCGGAGGCCGACCGAUACUGUCGGGCUAGAGUCCGGAAGAGGCGAGUGGAAUUCCAGGUGUAGCGGUGAAAUGCGUAGAUAUCUGGAGGAAUACCGGUGGCGAAGGCGGCAUCCUGGACCGACAUUGACGCUGAGGAGCGAAAGCUAGGGGAGCAAACGGG
rnacentral:rRNA from 1 species